rnacentral:lncRNA from 1 species
CAACCUCCCACUCCCCACACCACAGAAGCCCACACUCAACACAACCCCACAACCUCCCACCCCCAUCCCACGCUCAAGGCCUCUGCUUCGCUCAACACAGGCCUGAGCCCCUUGGCUUGUGGUAGUGCACAGCCUUCUUCGAUCGAGUCAAAGCCCUCCCCUGACAGAGGGACGAGUGGAAAAAAGAAAUCAGAAAGAGAAUGCUUGGGAGCCAGGUCUAGGAAGGGGGCCAGCAGCCUCUCAUUUGGGGAUAAAGACCAGUGCUGAGGUCUGACCCUGACACUCGCGGGCUGAGGACUUGGGAAAUAAGAGCAGAAGCCAUUUCUCUUCAAGAGAAUUCUGAACCCCUGAAUGAGGCUGAGACCUUGAACCCAGAAGCUACUCUAUCUUUGGAAGGGACUGUGAACCUGGAAGACAUUCUCUACCUAGGGGACACAGGUGACUUCGAAGAGACACUUUACAUGGAGGAGCCUGAGAGUCCAGAGGCGAUACUGUAUAUUGAGGAGACUGGGCAGCCAGAGGCACUAUUGGUGGAAGAGCCUGUGAGUGCAAGGGAGAUGCAGUAUGAGGAGACUGAGAAGCCAAAUCUGGAACAGCCUGUGGAUCUAGCAAAGAGCCUGAGCCCAGAGCAAAUUGUCUGUGAGGGAGAGAUGACUGAAAGGGAGGAAAAAUCCAACCCUGAGGAGAACCUCAAACCUGAGCGGAGCCCCAGCCCAGAGGAGAACCUGAGCAUUGAGGAUCUGGAACUGCUAGAGGGCCGUUUCCAGCAGUGUGUGCAAGCAGUGGCCCAGCUGGAAGAGGAGCGGGAUCAGCUCAUCCAUGAGCUGGUGCUGCUCCGAGAACCAGCCCUGCAGGAGGUACAGCAAGUCCAUCAGGACAUCCUGGCUGCCUAUAAGCUGCACGCGCAGGCAGAACUGGAGAGAGAUGGGCUAAGGGAAGAGAUCAGGCUGGUCAAGCAGAAGCUAUUGCAAGGUGACCAAGGAAUGUGUGACCUACCAGUACCAGUUGGAGUGCCGUCAGCAGGACGUGGCUCAGUUCACUGA